rnacentral:lncRNA from 1 species
GUCUUUUUACUAUAACACAUAAAGAAAAAUUAUAAAAUAGGUACAAAUAAAUAAAGAAAAAAUAUACAUACACGUAUGAUAAAAUACGAACAAGGUGAUAGCUAGCAAACACGUAGAGCCAGGAAAUGGGUAAAUUUAAAGGACAAAGGCUUCAGAGAUCACACACCGUCAUUACUUUUAGUGUGGUUAAUAUCAUUACUAAGUUCGUUGCGGAAGCGAAAUGGAAACAACGAAAGAAAAUAUUAAAUUAUAAUAUGAAUAUUGAAUAGAUACCAUUGUGUCAUUUUAGCAUAAAUCUUAUGAGGCACCUUAAAUGCAUUAAUCUUAAAUUGAGGGGCUUGGAGGACAAGGCGCAUGGGUGCAGUUUUUGCUAUUUCGAGAAAUACGUGUUUGAAGUUUCGAAAUUACAUGGGUCCUUAUGGUGGAAAGAAAGUUCAAACUGACUUUAUAAUGCUUAAAAAUUGGUUUGGGAAGGAAUUUUCAUAGAGUUUGCAUCAGGACUAGUUUUAUUUGAAAUCAUUAACAUCUCAAUUUUGUCAAAAACUGCACUUGUGCGCCUUGUUCUCCAAGCCCCUACCCUGAAUGAAUGUAUGCUAUAGAAAUAAAAGGACGCCUAUUUUGGAAAUAAAUUAAAUGAUAUUUCUUUUUCACAUAUAUAGUUGCUAAAGAAAAUAGUAUUCAAUACUAGACGAACCAUGCACCAUUGUCUCGAAUAAGCGUUUUCCUCCCCUUUUUCUCUCGAAACUAAAGUUGCAAGGUAGCUUCAAACAUUGAAUUUGACUCUGGGACUAAUCUUUAAGUAUUUCACUAAGAGUUGAGCCGUGUUGGCGUGCGUCUAGGUGAUCAUAUAAAUCCAUUUUCUUCUAACCGAUGUGAUUAUUUUUGACAAGUCGUUUGCAAAGAAAUUAUAACGUAUGGAAAGACGAGGGCUUGAAAACAUGUGACUCAGUUGUUUUUGAACUCCCUCAUGAGCAAUGAACAAAUACCUGAAUACCUUAUACCUGCUGAAUCACGAAGAUUAAGACAGAAGAUUCAAAGAUAACAGCUGUUGAGAUGUUGAAUUCUUACCAAUUAUUUAAAGAAAAAAAUGCAAACUUGAACAUAAGA